GAGGAAAAGAAACCAACCGGGAUUGCCUUAGUAACGGCGAGUGAAGCGGCAAAAGCUCAAAUUUGAAAUCUAGUAUCAUUAUUGAUGCUCGAGUUGUAAUUUGUAGAAAGUAAUUCUGGGAUUGGCCUUUAUCUAUGUUCCUUGGAAAAGGACGUCAUAGAGGGUGAGAACCCCGUAAGGUAAAGUGAUCCAAUUCUUUGUAGAAUACUUUCAAAGAGUCGAGUUGUUUGGGAAUGCAGCUCUAAGUGGGUGGUAAAUUCCAUCUAAAGCUAAAUAUUGGCGAGAGACCGAUAGCGAACAAGUACAGUGAUGGAAAGAUGAAAAGAACUUUGAAAAGAGAGUGAAAAAGGACGUGAAAUUGUUGAAAGGGAAGGGCAUUUGAUCAGACAUGGUGUUUUGUGCCCCUUAUUCCUUGUGGAUAAGGGAAUCUCACAGUUCACUGGGCCAACAUCAGUUUUGACAGUAGGAAAAAACUUUAGGAAUGUAGCUCAUUGAGUAUUAUAGCCUAAUGUCAAUACUACUAGUUGGGACUGAGGUAUGCGAUUCGUUCAAGGAUGUUGGCAUAAUGGUUAAAUGCCGCCCGUCUUGA
rnacentral:rRNA from 1 species